GACCUUGUGGCGCAACGGUAGCGCGUCUGACUCCAGAUCAGAAAGUUGCGUGUUCAAAUCACGUCAGGGUCA
rnacentral:tRNA from 1 species